rnacentral:tRNA from 1 species
GGGACCGUAGGGUAGAUUGGACCAUCCUACCAGCUUGGGGUGUUGGUGACCCGAGUUCAAAUCUCGGCGGUCCCA